rnacentral:rRNA from 1 species
GACGAACGCUGGCGGCGUGCUUAACACAUGCAAGUCGAACGGUGAAGCUCCAGCUUGCUGGAGUGGAUCAGUGGCGAACGGGUGAGUAACACGUGAGCAACCUGCCCCUGACUCUGGAAUAAGCGCUGGAAACGGCGUCUAAUACUGGAUACGAGACGGGUCCGCAUGGGCACUUUCUGGAAAGUUUUUCGGUUGGGGAUGGGCUCGCGGCCUAUCAGCUUGUUGGUGAGGUAAUGGCUCACCAAGGCGACGACGGGUAGCCGGCCUGCGAGGGCGACCGGCCACACUGGGACUGAGACACGGCCCAGACUCCUACGGGAGGCAGCAGGGGGGAAUAUUGCACAAUGGGCGAAAGCCUGAUGCAGCGACGCCGGGUGAGGGAGGACGGCAUUCGGUUGGGAAACCUCUUUCAGCAGGGAAGAAGCGAAAGUGACGGUACCUGCAGAAGAAGCACCGGCUAACUACUU